rnacentral:rRNA from 1 species
UGGGGAAUUUUCCGCAAUGGGCGAAAGCCUGACGGAGUGACGCCGCGUGGGGGACGAAGGCCUUCGGGUUGUAAACCCCUGUCAGAGGGAAAGAAGGCGGGGCGCGUGAACAGCGCGUUCCGUUGACGGUACCUUCAGAGGAAGCCCCGGCCAACUCUGUGCCAGCAGCCGCGGUAAGACAGAGGGGGCAAGCGUUGCUCGGAAUCACUGGGCGUAAAGGGCACGUAGGCGGGAUGGCAAGUCGGUCGUGAAAUCCCUGGGCUCAACUCAGGGGGGUCGGCCGAUACUGCCGUUCUUGAGGGAUGCAGAGGAGACUGGAAUUCCCGGUGUAGCGGUGAAAUGUGUAGAGAUCGGGAGGAACACCGGUGGCGAAGGCGGGUCUCUGGGCAUUCCCUGACGCUGAGGCGCGAAAGCGUGGGGAGCGAAACGGGAUUAGGAUACCCCGGGUAGUCCACGCGGUAAACGAUCGACGACGUAGGUGUGGGGGGUUAAGUCCCGUU